rnacentral:rRNA from 1 species
UACGAAGGGGGGCUAGCGUUGUUCGGAAUUACUGGGCGUAAAGCGUGCGCAGGCGGCUUCUCAAGUCAGGGGUGAAAUCCCCGGGCUCAACCUGGGAACUGCAUUUGUGACUGCAUGGCUAGAGUACGGUAGAGGGGGAUGGAAUUCCGCGUGUAGCAGUGAAAUGCGUAGAUAUGCGGAGGAACACCGAUGGCGAAGGCAAUCCCCUGGACCUGUACUGACGCUCAUGCACGAAAGCGUGGGGAGCAAACAGG